CCGAGUGGUGUGGAUGUUUAUUGGGCCUAAAGCAUCCGUAGCUGGCUAGGUCAGUCCCUUGUUAAAUCCACCGAAUUAAUCGUUGGAUCGCGGGGGAUACUGCUUGGCUAGGGGACGAGAGAGGCAGACGGUAUUUUCGGGGUAGGGGUGAAAUCCUAUAAUCCCGGGAAGACCACCAGUGGCGAAGGCUGUCGG
rnacentral:rRNA from 1 species